rnacentral:rRNA from 1 species
AUAUCAAUAAGCGGAGGAAAAGAAACCAACAGGGAUUGCCCUAGUAACGGCGAGUGAAGCGGCAACAGCUCAAAUUUGAAAUCUGGCUUUCGGGCCCGAGUUGUAAUUUGUAGAGGAUACUUUUGAUGCGGUGCCUUCCGAGUUCCCUGGAACGGGACGCCAUAGAGGGUGAGAGCCCCGUCUGGUUGGAUGCCAAAUCUCUGUAAAGUUCCUUCGACGAGUCGAGUAGUUUGGGAAUGCUGCUCUAAAUGGGAGGUAUAUGUCUUCUAAAGCUAAAUAUUGGCCAGAGACCGAUAGCGAACAAGUACCGUGAGG